rnacentral:rRNA from 1 species
AGUGAACGCUGGCGGUAGGCCUAACACAUGCAAGUCGAACGGCAGCACAGUAAGAGCUUGCUCUUACGGGUGGCGAGUGGCGGACGGGUGAGGAAUACAUCGGAAUCUACUUUUUCGUGGGGGAUAACGUAGGGAAACUUACGCUAAUACCGCAUACGACCUACGGGUGAAAGCAGGGGAUCUUCGGACCUUGCGCGAUUGAAUGAGCCGAUGUCGGAUUAGCUAGUUGGCGGGGUAAAGGCCCACCAAGGCGACGAUCCGUAGCUGGUCUGAGAGGAUGAUCAGCCACACUGGAACUGAGCAACGGUCCAGACUCCUACGGGAGGCAGAAGUGGGGAAUAUUGGACAAUGGGCGCAAGCCUGAUCCAGCCAUACCGCGUGGGUGAAGAAGGCCUUCGGGUUGUAAAGCCCUUUUGUUGGGAAAGAAAAGCAGCAGGUUAAUACCCCGCUGUUCUGACGGUACCCAAAGAAUAAGCACCGGCGAACUUCGU